ensembl:lncRNA
AGACAAUUAUUUUAUGACUUAAGACUCAAGCUUCUACCUAAGGCAGACAAUUAUUUUAUGACUUAGUGACUGUUUUUUUUCUGCUUUUAAUAAAGCAAGUUGACUAAAGUCUGUGAUUUGUACAUUUAAUUUUCAUUUUUAAAUGAUAGUUUUCUAGCUAUCUUUCAUAACCAUUAUGAAAAAGGUGUGUGGUGUAGCUGAUUGUAAUAUUCUUAGUGAAGAACAGAUGGUUUAAUUUGUAGUUAGUGUCUUACUGCCUUUCUAAAGUUGACGUCCAAAGCACAGGAUACACAUUUAAGUUCUACAAGGUAAUCGUGAUUGUAUUAAACUGAAGAGUGAACAUAAGAUGUUUUUAAGAGUUCUAGCUUUUACAUGGGUCUAACCAUUUUAAUACAUGGUAUGAGGUAUGUGUUGAGAUUCAUUUUUUUCUCUACAGCAAAUUGUGAGCUUCCCAAAAUAUCGCAUGUGUGUAGUGGCAUAUUUCUGAUCUGUUUUCUUUCCUGUUUUCUGUUUGCUUAUCCUUAGCUGGUAAAGCAUUGUCCUUAACCAAAUGUCAGUACACAGUGUGAGUUCUUCAAAUUUGUUCUUUUUCAGAAUUAUUUUUGGCUAUUUUAGUUCUUUUGACUGUAAAUCAUUUUAGUCAGUUUGUCCGUGUCAAUAGAAAUUCUUCCAAAGUUUGGUUGAAAUUAUGUUUAAUUUCACAAGUCAUUUCGAAGAGAGUAAGAUCAUAGCAAUGUUGGGGAGUGGCUCCCAUGAGUGCAAUGUAUUUAUGGAAGUCAUCUGGGUAUUGUUUGUGUUUUAUAUCAGUGUUUUCUCAGUGUAUGGAUCAUGCACAUUUUGUCAAAUUUGUUUUGUUAUGACUAGAAGUGGAACUCAGGGCCCUGGUGCAUACUAAUCUUUAUCGUGGAGAUGUGCUAAUUCUGCUAAGUAUGUUUGGAGGCGUUAUUAGAAUUGUUCUUUUGGGAGGUGCAUUAGAGUUCUUUAGAUGAACAGAGCCAAUAGUCUGAAAAGAAAAGGAACUUAUCAGAGUGACUUACAGGUUGUGUUCUAGCUAUGUGAACAGUGGUCUCCCAAUGGACCGGCCAAGAAUGCAUUAGCUUUUCAGCCCAUAAGGUUGGACGUCUCAGCUGGUGUGUUGUCCUGGCUGUGUUGGAAUCAGGACAAAGUCGGUUCUAGUACCAGCAAAAGAAUUACUCAGCAACAGCAGGGAAGAUGAGCUUUCCGCCAGAAUGAGGGCAAAGCAAGCAAAAUGCCAAAGCUUCUUCCAGGUCCUUUUAUGUAGGCUGCAACCAGAAGCAUGCCUCUGAUUUAGGGUGGGUCUUCCCACCUCAAAUGAUAGAAUCAAGAAAAUCCUUCACAGGUGUGCCCGUCUUAGGUUUUAAUUGCCCCCAGAUGUAGUUAGGGUGACAACCAAGAUUAGCCAUCCAGGAAACAUUGGAGUUAUUACUGUUUUCAAUUUUUCUAUGUCUGGUCUGGCUUUUCACAUCUGUGGUUAGGAAGUACAAAUGGUUUAAUAUUUUGACUGUGUCUGUAGCCUGACUCAGUGCUUGUUAGGAUGAAUGUUCUAGAACUUUUUUUUUGUAGAUUCCUUGAGAUUUUCUAUGUAGAAAUAAUGAUGUGUUGAUGGCGAGGUUUAUUUUCUAAUGUUUGCCCUUCCUUUCUUGACAUAGGUACAUAGUAGCUCUUCUAGAAUGACACUAAAAAUGGAUGAUGAGAAUAUUUUCUUCAUUCUCAGUCUUGGGGAAAGACACUAUCAAGAUAUAAACUGUAGACUUUCAUGAUUUUUGCUGAGUUAAGGAAUUUCUUUCCUUUAUCCUAAAUUUCAGUUUUUUUUCUUUAUAAGUGAAUUUUACAUUCUGUGAAAUGCUUUUACUAUAUGAGAUCCUGUUUGUUUUUUUUAAACUUUGAUAUGGGGAAUUUCAGUGAUUGGUUAAAAAAAUGUUGAACCUGCCUUGAGUUCAUGAAAUAUGCCAUACUUGAUUGGGUCACAUUAUCCUGUUUGUAUAGUGCUGUAAUUGUGCAGUCACUGUUAAAAUAGUAAUAGAUAUUUUUACUGGUUAUCACUAUAUCAGUCCUGAAACACAUUUGAAAAUGUGCUUCAAAUGUAUUUUGAUGACCUGCGAUGGUUAUGGUAGUGUGUCUGUGUAAUCCCUGGGUUUAGGCUGGAGAGACAGAAUGAUCAAUCAGAGACAGACAGGCUUGUCAGGAAGUCAAGGCAAGGUUCUACUGCAUAGAGUUGAACCACUAGUUCAUGAACUUGUGUAACAAAUACAGUACAGGUACAUUAGCCAAGCAAUAUUUUAGUGUGGGAGUUUAGCACAUAGGCUAAACUUGCCUUUAGAGGAUAGAGUGAUGGCCUAGUGGUUAAUAAUGUUCACUGAUCUUCCAAAGGACCCACGCUCAUUUCCUAUUGUCUACAUGGCAGCUGACAGGGAUCAGACACCCUCUUCUGGCUUCCACAGGCGCUACACACACGGUACAUAGGCAUACAUGCAAGUAAAGCACACAUAACAUAAAAUAAAAUUGAAAAAACAAAACCCUGCCCUAAACUGUAUUCCUUCCCAGAGUGUAAAGAGCAUCUGAGGGUGUAGUGCCAUGUGGAGAACAGUAAGGCAGUCAUAGGAGGAGCAGAGCUGUUUUAAAUCCAUUGGCCAGGGUCGGGCUUUAAUGGAGACCUUAGCUCAGCAAGGUGAAUGAAGGCGGUGAUUCAUCUAAUCAGAGCAGUUUUCAUACUUAGAAAAUAACAAGUACUCUCAGUUGGUUAACACGAAGCCCAGUGUUCCUGGAGUGUCUUAAUCCAUGGAGAAAACUGUAGAAGAUGAAACAGGCGAGAGACCUGAUAAUGUAGAACUCUGUAGGCCAUGAAAAUGGUAAUUUUAGAUUUCAUUGUAAAUACAGAGCUGACUACUCAUUUAGUCAGCAGAUAUUUAUAGUGUGUCUGCUGGUCACAUUGUUUUUUCAUAUAAUAGGAAAGUAGCAGGCUAAGCAUUACUAGAGUUUGUAAGAGCUAAUAAUUAAAUAAGUUAUGACAAUACUUUACGAAACUAUGCAAAUAGGCAAAAGUGGUAUUUUAGAAUUAUUGUCAAUUGGAAAAUAUUCAGACAAUUAAAUCAUGUAUGUGUAUAAAAUUUAAAGAAUUAAAGUAAAUCACUUAUAUGUUAUACUAAAACCAUAAUGCAUACAAGUGAAUGCCUUUCUAUUUAAGAGAGAUACAGAUAUUUUCAUGCGUUUCUUUUAGUUAUACAUCACGGAGACAUUUCUGCUUUGGUUUUUUUGUUUUCAAAUAAGGAUACAUUUGGGAAUAGUGCACAGAAGAACCUCAUGGGCAUUUUAAAUAGGGGUUGUAUUUUAGCUAGAAGACUAUAAUCUAAAAGUCUUUAUGGCACUAUAAGAUACAGUCAUGUUAUAAUCUCAAAUAUAAAAAUGACUUAAAAGGUAGUUAUCUGUUCCUG